rnacentral:tRNA from 1 species
GCCGAGGUGGCGGAGAUAGGACAAACGCGCCGGCCUUGAGAGCCGGUUCUCCUUUCGGAGAGCUUGGGUUCAAAUCCCAACCUCGGCGCCA